AUCCUUUCGCAGAGGAAAUAUCGUAGCCUAUGAGGUCUAUCCGAGGCGUGAUGAUUGCUGGUUGAAAACUUAAAUCAAUACCCCGCCGGGAUGACUUAAAAUAUAGUCAGCCCUGGCAAUUUUUUAAGAGUUUAGUAAGAG